rnacentral:rRNA from 1 species
ACGUUGCUCGGAAUUAUUGGGCGUAAAGCGCACGUAGGCGGCUUAGCAAGUCGGAUGUGAAAGCCUUCGGCUUAACCGAAGAAGUGCAUCCGAAACUGCAAAGCUUGAGUACUUAAGAGGAUCGCGGAAUUCCCGGUGUAGAGGUGAAAUUCGUAGAUAUCGGGAGGAACACCAGUGGCGAAGGCGGCGAUCUGGGAAGAUACUGACGCUGAGGUGCGAAAGCGUG